UACGUAGGUGGCGAGCGUUAUCCGGAAUUAUUGGGCGUAAAGAGCGCGCAGGCGGUUGAUUAAGUCUGAUGUGAAAGCCCACGGCUUAACCGUGGAGGGUCAUUGGAAACUGGUCGACUUGAGUGCAGAAGAGGGAAGUGGAAUUCCAUGUGUAGCGGUGAAAUGCGUAGAGAUGUGGAGGAACACCGAUGGCGAAGGCAGCCUCCUGGGCCAGCACUGACGCUCAUGCACGAAAGCGUGGGGAGCAAACAGG
rnacentral:rRNA from 1 species